rnacentral:tRNA from 1 species
GAGCCUGUGGCUCAAAGGUAGAGCAAGUGCUUAGCAAGUAGGAAGCCCUGAGUUCAAAUCUCAGCGCUUC